GGCCCCGUGGUGUAGCCUGGUCUAACACGCAGCCCUGUCAAGGCUGAGAUCGGCGGUUCAAAUCCGCUCGGGGUCGCCA
rnacentral:tRNA from 1 species